CAGUAGCCGCGGGAAUACGUAGGUGGCAAGCGUGGUCCGGAAUUAUUGGGCGUAAAGGGCUCGCAGGCGGUUUCUUAAGUCUGAUGUGAAAGCCCCCGGCUCAACCGGGGAGGGUCAUUGGAAACUGGGAAACUUGAGUGCGGAAGAGGAGAGUGGAAUUCCACGUGUAGCGGUGAAAUGCGUAGAGAUGUGGAGGAACACCAGUGGCGAAGGCGACUCUCUGGUCUGUAACUGACGCUGAGGAGCGAAAGCGUGGGGAGCGAACAGGAUUAGAUACCCCUGUAGUCCCUGUCUCUUAUAC
rnacentral:rRNA from 1 species